rnacentral:rRNA from 1 species
GACGAACGCUGGCGGCGUGCCUAAUACAUGCAAGUCGAGCGAAUCGGCGGAUGGGGGAGUAACGCGUGGGUAACCUGCCCUUAAGUCUGGGAUACCAUUUGGAACCAGAUAAUAAUGCCGGAUACUAAAGGAUGGACCUGCGAUGCAUUAGCUAGUUGGUAAGGUAACGGCUUACCAAGGCGAUGAUGCAUAGCCGGGCUGAGAGGCUGACCGGCCACACUGGAACGGAGACACGGCCCAGACUCCUACGGGAGGCAGCAGUAGGGAAUCUUGCACAAUGGGCGCAAGCCUGAUGCAGCAACGCCGCGUGUAUGAAGAAGGCCUUCGGGUUGUAAAGUACUUUCAGCGAGGAGGCGUUACCCGCAGAAGAAGCACCGGCUAACUCCGUGCCAGCAGCCGCGGUAAUUC